CUGAAGUAAAUUAACACUGGUACAGUGUGAUUUAGUUAAGUAUAAACUAAAAGUUUUAACAGAUGCUUAUUUUCCAUGUAGAUUUUCACUUCAUUACCAGCUUUCACUCUUGGAAUUUUUGAACAGUGUUGUAGUCAAAAGAGCUUGCUCGAACAUCCACAACUCUACACAAUUUCUCAGAAAGGAGAAAUUUUCAACACAAGGGUAUUUUGGAUGGACUGUAUGAAUGCUUUGGUUCACUCGUUCAUUCUCUUCUGGCUUCCUAUGAAAAUACUGGAGCAUGAUAUUGUUUUGCCACAUGGUCGAACUGCAGACUAUUUGUUUCUUGGAAAUUGUAUUUAUACGUAUGUAGUUGUUACUGUUUGUCUGAAAGCUGGGUUGGAAACUAUGUCAUGGACUAAAUUUACUCACCUGGCAGUUUGGGGAAGCAUAAUAAUCUGGUUGGUGUUCUUCACAAUUUACUCUUACUUCUGGCCCACCAUCCCUGUUGCUCCUGAAAUGGCAGGACAGGCCAGUGUGAUCCUCGUUUCUCCAUGCUUCUGGCUGGGUUUUGUCCUAGUCCCUACCACAUGUCUGAUUAACGAUGUGUUUUGGAAAUUGUUUAGAAAUACCUAUAAAAGAAGUCUUCUAGAGAAAAUUCGCCAGCUGGAAAGUGACAAAGUUAAAGGAUUUGAUUUUUCUGCGGUGUUUGGGAGGAGGAGGUUACAAGAAAAAAGAGAAGAAAAACAGCUUGAAUUUCCCUUAUUACACCUUUUGGAGGGGACGACAGCCACAGAUGUCCAAACAUCCUUAGCUCCCAAGCCCUGUGAAGUUGUCUUCCAGGAGAGUUCUGUGGACCUAAGUGCUCCAUGUGGCUAUGCCUUUUCUCAAGCAGAAGGAUCUGUGAUCACUCAGGAAGAACUAGUCCGUUCUUACAACACUCUUGUAAGUGAAAGGAGGGGUUCAUAGAAGAGGUCAACCUUUAUUAAUCACCAAUGUGUAAGAUGCAGAUCACUGUAUUCUUCCCCAAGACUGGUAAAAUGAGCCAGACUCCCAAUUGCUGGUUCCUGUGGCUUUGACAAGCACAGUCUGUUAUUUAUGUGUUGACUGAUUCAGAAGAAUAAACAAUGGAGAAACCCCACUUGCUUUUUCUUAAUUCUUUUUCAGUGUUUUACCCAAUAUAUUCAUUUUUCUGUGGCUGUGCGAUAAUUUAUCAGUUCAGUCUGAAGUAUAAAAUGAAGAACUGUGUUCAGCAAAAUUUAAACUUUGGCACAAGUUGUUUGAAGGAAAAAUUAAAGGUGAUAUAUUACCUAAAAAAUCUAUCGUGCCUAACGGGAAAGGGGUCAUGCAGAAUCUUCACAUUUUGAAAACUCAGAUUGAAGGCAUGAGGCAGC
rnacentral:lncRNA from 1 species